rnacentral:rRNA from 1 species
UAGUUUGACUCCUGGCUCAAGAACGAACGCUGGCGGCAUGCCUAACACAUGCAAGUCGAACGAGACCUUCGGGUCUAGUGGCGCACGGGUGCGUAACGCGUGGGAACCUGCCUUUAGGUUCGGAAUAACUCAGAGAAAUUUGAGCUAAUACCGGAUAAUGUCUUCGGACCAAAGAUUUAUCGCCUUUAGAUGGGCCCGCGUUGGAUUAGCUAGUUGGUGGGGUAAAGGCCUACCAAGGCGACGAUCCAUAGCUGGUCUGAGAGGAUGAUCAGCCACACUGGGACUGAGACACGGCCCAGACUCCUACGGGAGGCAGCAGUGGGGAAUAUUGGACAAUGGGCGAAAGCCUGAUCCAGCAAUGCCGCGUGAGUGAUGAAGGCCUUAGGGUUGUAAAGCUCUUUUACCCGAGAUGAUAAUGACAGUAUCGGGAGAAUAAGCUCCGGCUAACUCCGUG